rnacentral:rRNA from 1 species
UAGGGAAUCUUCCACAAUGGACGCAAGUCUGAUGGAGCAACGCCGCGUGAGUGAAGAAGGUUUUCGGAUCGUAAAGCUCUGUUGUUGGUGAAGAAGGAUAGAGGCAGUAACCGGUCUUUAUUUGACGGUAAUCAACCAGAAAGUCACGGCUAACUACGUGCCAGCAGCCGCGGUAAUACGUAGGUGGCAAGCGUUGUCCGGAUUUAUUGGGCGUAAAGCGAGCGCAGGCGGAAUGAUAAGUCUGAUGUGAGAGCCCACGGCUCAACCGUGGAACUGCAUCGGAAACUGUCAUUCUUGAGUGCAGAAGAGGAGAGUGGAACUCCAUGUGUAGCGGUGGAAUGCGUAGAUAUAUGGAAGAACACCAGUGGCGAAGGCGGCUCUCUGGUCUGCAACUGACGCUGAGGCUCGAAAGCAUGGGUAGCGAACAGGAUUAGAUACCCUG